rnacentral:sRNA from 1 species
GAAACGGUCACAGGCAGAUGAUGGCUCUGUCGUCCGAGUCAGAACAAGAGCUAAGGAUCUAACCGUGUCCUGACGUUUUGUGAUAUUAUAUUAUAUAUGCAGUCUGCUGUUACUUACAAGUAGCUGGGCUCUUCUAGCUCAGUAAUACAUUAUAAAGUAGUACUUUAUUUUUUCAAAUAUGAUUUGUUUUUUAAUGAUGACACAAAGAUGCAUGUAUAUUUAAGUUGUAUUUUUAUUUGAACUUCAAAUUUUUUUACUUUACUUGAAACAUUUCCAGUUGAUCAGAAAGAGUUUUAUGUUGUAUAAUUAAGGCUUUUUUCACCAUGAUCACCAUGUAGUUUAUUUUUCUAUGAAUUGUUGAUGGUGAUCCUUGUGUAUAUGAUAUUCUUAAAACAAAAUGAAAUAUUUGACAGAAGAACUAGGGUCAAUUUUGAUUUCAGGUUGAAUUUUAACUGACUUUGUUAUAAGUGUAGUGCUUGUUUUAACGGACUUGUGUCCAUCUGUCUGUCUGAUAUUAAAAGAGUUGUGAGGUAUGCAAUAUUAGAGGGACCAUUAACCAAUUAGUCUUGGAGACUUUAAAUUCCAUGUACCUUAUUGUCAAAAUGGACAUGACCCAUUGUCAUGCCAUGUUUUGUCAACUUUUUAUCAAUCUUGUUGAUGCUGAAUUUUAUGCACAUGUUUUAGUGCCAAUGACAUACUGCAGUCUUUUAGAAAUUUGCAUUUAGUUUUAAACUUUUUUAAAAUAAAAUUGAAUGCUCAUGUUCUCUGAUCAAAUUUAUGUGCAUUGAUACAUAUCUUUAGAUGGACCAUUUUGUAUAUUUCAUCUUUUAAAGUUCAAUGUAGUUUUAGAAUUUUAGACUUUUUCAUUUUGUGCCAUCAUGAAUAUGCAUAUUUUUCUACAGUUGUAAAUUUUUAAAAAAUCAAAAGUCAUUUAUAACAGUUAAUUAGAGUUCAUCCCAGGUCAACAGGUUAAAUUGUCUCAUUCAUUUCAGUUUAUGUAUACCAUGUAAAGUUUAGAUGAAUCAAAUUUAUUUAUACCAAAUAAAGGAAAAAUGAAAAAU